rnacentral:rRNA from 1 species
UGCCAGUAGUCAUAUGCUUGUCUCAAAGAUUAAGCCAUGCAUGUCUCAGUACAAGCCAAAUUAAGGUGAAACCGCGAAAGGCUCAUUAUAUCAGUUAUGGUUCCUUAGAUCGUACCCACAUUUACUUGGAUAACUGUGGUAAUUCUAGAGCUAAUACAUGCAAACAGAGUUCCGACCAGAGAUGGAAGGAAUGCUUUUAUUAGAUCAAAACCAAUCGGUGUAAAUUUUAAUUUGCAUCGUUUAAUUUGGUGACUCUGAAUAACUUUAAGCUGAUCGCACGGUCUCGUACCGGCGACGCAUCUUUCAAAUGUCUGCCUUAUCAACUGUCGAUGGUAGGUUCUGCGCCUACCAUGGUUGUAACGGGUAACGGGGAAUCAGGGUUCGAUUCCGGAGAGGGAGCCUGAGAAACGGCUACCACAUCCAAGGAAGGCAGCAGGCGCGCAAAUUACCCACUCCCGGCACGGGGAGGUAGUGACGAAAAAUAACGAUACGGGACUCAUCCGAGGCCCCGUAAUCGGAAUGAGUACACUUUAAAUCCUUUAACGAGGAUCCAUUGGAGGACAAGUCUGGU